GAUGAACGCUGGCGGCGUGCUUAACACAUGCAAGUCGAGCGAAGCACUUAAGUUUGAUUCUUCGGAUGAAGGUUUUUGUGACUGAGCGGCGGACGGGUGAGUAACGCGUGGGUAACCUGCCUCAUACAGGGGGAUAACAGUUAGAAAUGACUGCUAAUACCGCAUAAGACCACGGUACCGCAUGGUACAGUGGUAAAAACUCCGGUGGUAUGAGAUGGACCCGCGUCUGAUUAGGUAGUUGGUGGGGUAACGGCCUACCAAGCCGACGAUCAGUAGCCGACCUGAGAGGGUGACCGGCCACAUUGGGACUGAGACACGGCCCAGACUCCUACGGGAGGCAGCAGUGGGGAAUAUUGCACAAUGGAGGAAACUCUGAUGCAGCGACGCCGCGUGAAGGAUGAAGUAUUUCGGUAUGUAAACUUCUAUCAGCAGGGAAGAAAAUGACGG
rnacentral:rRNA from 1 species